GACAGGUGAAGGGAAGACACGCCUUGUCCAGAGAAACUGUACCACUGUGUUCGCGCUGUACACAACAAUACAGCCACCAGAAGCUUUAAAAAAAACCUGUCCACAAUAAGAGGAUUCACACGGACGUACCUUUCAUGGAGCGGAGCAACGUGAAGAGGACCGUAAGAUAUUCUCAAGAUGAUGACGAUGAUGAUGCUAGUAGCCUAAAGUUUUCCGUACUGAGAUUCUUUCUACUUUCGGUGGGGCACUUUGCAAUACAGAUGUUCUGGUGAGCUUGCUCAAAAAGUGGACGUGAGGAGACACCAGCUCAAGAAUGAGAGGCACCUUUGUUCUACGGUUUCCAGGAAAAGUGAUUUAGGGCAACCACAGCAAUCUGCUUGUAACUAAAGCAAAGACGAGGAGGUUUUGCAACCGUUUUCACACAGCUACAGACAGCAACCUCCAGCAAACACUCAUCAUCCGAGGAAUACGCCUAUUCCUGCAGUUUUCCAAGGGGUUGUGGUGGCCAGCCAGUCUCUAGAUUUUCUUUGUGCCGAAUACAUUAUCCUCCAUCAUAUUCAAGCAUUUUUGCAAACUGCAGUUACAGGCAGCCAGAGGGAUGCGUGGCACAAAGAGGAAGGAGGUCGGAGACGGCAGAUAGUGAGCUGCAGUGUACUACAGCAUACUGGGUCAUAGGAGGAGCCAGGAGGACAGAGAGUGUUGUUCCCAGAAGUCGACUGCAGUGAGGCGGGGCGUCAGCCAGCACACCAGCGACCUGCCUUCCCUCCGCCUUCCCAGCUGCUGGGAAAGAUGGAGAUACCAGCAAAUCAGUGUUUGUUCAGCCACUCCACAAAUAUCCCCUCUCUAGAUUGCGUCUGGCCAAGGAAACGGCACUUGACUGGGAUUCUGAAAUGAUUAUUGGUGGCAGUGUCCUUCUGGGGCUGCUUUUCUAAAUGUGCCAAUAAAUUUCACAUGUCCAGCUUUGUUUUGCUUUCAUUAGGCCUCUAAUCUCCAUCCCAGGGCCAGGCUGAUUCUGCCAUGAGUGAACUCUCUGUUUUCUCUAGAGCCAGUGAUUAAUGACUGGACAGCAUCAUUACUAGUGCUGUGCUCUGGAGUUACAUAUCUGCUGUUGUUGACACUGCCACAAUCAGUGCAACACUAUAACAUAUGUGUUUAUAUGCCUAUACAUGCAAGUUAUUUGCAGAUAUCAAGUGGUUGUUUUUAACAGCCAGCGUUAUAUUUCAUGAUAGCAUAUUCCUCAUGUACAUCAUUCCUAUCCUCAUAUUAUUUG